rnacentral:rRNA from 1 species
AUUGAACGCUGGCGGCAGGCCUAACACAUGCAAGUCGAACGAGUGGCGGACGGGUGAGUAAUUUCUGGGCAACUGCCUGAUGGAGGGGGCUAACUACUGUAAACGGUAGCUAAUACCGCAUACCAUCAGAUGUGCCCAGAUGGGAUUAGCUUGUUGGUGGGGUAACGGGUCACCAAGGCGACGAUCCCUAGCUGGUCUGAGAGGAUGACCAGCCACACGGGAACUGAGACACGGCCCAGACUCCUACGGGAGGCAGCAGUGGGGAAUAUUGCACAAUGGGCGCAAGCCUGAUGAAGCCAUGCCGCGUGUAUGAAGAAGGCCUUCGGAUUGUAAAGUACUGUCAGCGGGGAGGCGUUACCCACAGAAGAAGCACCGGCUAACUCCGUGCCAGCCGCCGCGGUAAUAC